rnacentral:rRNA from 1 species
GAUGAACGCUGGCGGCGUGCUUAACACAUGCAAGUCGAACGAGCUUUAUUACUACGAUCCCUUCGGGGUGACGGUUUUAAAGCGAGUGGCGGACGGGUGAGUAACGCGUGGAUAACCUGCCAUACACUGGGGGAUAACAGCUGGAAACAGCUGCUAAUACCGCAUAAAACUGUAGAGUCGCAUGACUUUAUAGCCAAAGCUCCGGCGGUGUAUGAUGGAUCCGCGUCUGAUUAGGCAGUUGGCGGGGUAACGGCCCACCAAACCGACGAUCAGUAGCCGACCUGAGAGGGCGACCGGCCACAUUGGGACUGAGACACGGCCCAGACUCCUACGGGAGGCAGCAGUGGGGAAUAUUGGGCAAUGGGGCGCAAGCCUGACCCAGCAACGCCGCGUGAAGG